rnacentral:tRNA from 2 species
AGCGGGGUGGAGCAGUUGGCAGCUCGUCGGGCUCAUAACCCGAAGGUCGCAGGUUCGAGUCCUGCCUCCGCAA